rnacentral:rRNA from 1 species
GAUGAACGCUGGCGGCGUGCCUAAUACAUGCAAGUCGAGCGAACAGAUGAGGAGCUUGCUCCUCUGACGUUAGCGGCGGACGGGUGAGUAACACGUGGAUAACCUACCUAUAAGACUGGGAUAACUUCGGGAAACCGGAGCUAAUACCGGAUAAUAUAUUGAACCGCAUGGUUCAAUAGUGAAAGACGGUUUUGCUGUCACGUAUAGAUGGAUCCGCGCCGCAUUAGCUAGUUGGUAAGGUAACGGCUUACCAAGGCAACGAUGUGUAGCCGACCUGAUAGCGUGGUCGGCCGCACUGGAGCUGGGACGCGGUCCAGACUCCUACGGGAGGCAGCAGUAGGGAAUGUUCCGCAGUGGUCGAGAGCCUUGCGGAGCAACGCCACGUCAGUUAUGAAGGUCUUCCGAUCGUAAAGCUCUGUUAUUGGGUAAGAACAAAUGUGUAAGUAACUAUGCACGUCUUGACGGUACCUAAUCAGAAAGCCACGGCUAACUACGUG